CCACCAUUUGCUUCGACGUGGAUGGAACUGGAGGGUAUUAUGCUGAGUGAAGAAGGUCAUGAACUGCAAGCAAGAAUGUGGAGAAGGUCCUGGACAUUGGACAGAUGUUGGACAUUGAGGAGAAAAGAGAAGUUUGAUCAUAGAGUGAUGAAGUUGGAGAUGCAACUAUGGAGCAUGGAAUUCAAAUCCUCAGUUUCUGCCUCUGCUUUGUAACAAUCAGCACCUGUCUUUUAUCCGCUAUGAAUGGCUUCCUCCUCCCAAACCUUUUGUGGGAAGCCAGAGAUAGUCACACCUGCCCCCACAGGGAUGACGAGGCGAUUGUGAACAGGAAAGAGUCCACAAGCCAAAGAAUGUGAUCAACCUUUCUAAGCUGUAGAAGACAAGAAAACAUGCUCUGCUGUAGCGCCUCCAGAAAGGACCACAGCCUUGCUGCCAUCUGUGAAACCCAUAUGGACUUGUGAACUCCAGAGCUGAAGAUCUCACAUGGUGUUGGAUAUGAUACAGACUGAUACAGCAACACAAGACUGCAGAUUGAAAGUGCGAAUCAAGAAGAUUCUACAGGGAAUCACUGCCCAUUGAGAACCACUGUGUUAGAGAUGAAGUUGUUUCUUGUAAUUCUGCUGUUGGAGAGAUUUGUUUUCCUUUCCUUAUAUAUUUUUUUUAUCACCUGAAAUUCUACCCAAACAUCACAGAAAAUGUAAGUUCUGUGAGAACAGGGAUCUUGUCCGUCUUGCUUAUUAGCCUACUCAGGGCCUAGUAUUUUAAUAAAUACUUCUUGAAUAAAUGAAUAGAAAUACAAUAAAAAUAAAUCUGCUCAUGCUUUAUUGAGUAGAUAAAAGAAGAUGUGAUUUCAUUAAUAAUAUAUUUAGAUCUAUUUGAGUUCUUAAGCUUUGUAUUAAAUGGAAUUUUACUGACCUCGGAUUAGUGAAUUUUACAAGUAAUAUAAAUCUACUCUUUCUCAUUCUCUUCUCUAUUAAUUGGGUUACUCAACCAAUAGGCAUUGUGUGCAAGGUUGUAAAGAAAUACAUAACAAAUAUAUUAGAUAUUGUGAUCACUUUGUAAUUUGUAAUAGGAAGAACUCUACAAAAUGUGAAGAUACUUUGUAGACUGAAAAGGAAAAAGCCAUUUGUAUCAUUUAACUGGUUGUUUGGCUUUGCUUGUUUCAGCUGGAUGUUCUGGGAAUUGAGGCGAUGUGUUCAAACUUUGGGGAAGAAAGUGAUGGUGAACAUACCCCCAUAGACUUCAAGAGGAAUGGAAGCCACCAGAGCUGCUUCACAACAGACGGGUUACCCAGCAGUGCCAGAGAGUCAGGGAUGGGAGCAAAUGAAGACUCUGCUAUUCAGGGUGUGGGGAGGUGAGUGCUAAAGUCAAUUUGCAGCGAUAGACACAAGACUGAAAGGCCAGAAGCAUGGGGAUCCCUGGGUGGCUCAGUGGUGUACUGCCUGCCUUCAGGCCCAGGGCAUGAUCCUAGAGUCCCGGGAUCGAGUCCCACGUUGGGCUCCCUGCAUGUAGCCUGCCUUUCCCUCUGCCUGUGUCUCUGCCUCUCUCUCUGUGUCUCUCAUGAAUAAAAAAAAAAAAAAAAAAAAAAAAAGGCCAGAAGGAAACAUUUCAGUAGUAUCCAAAAUCUAUUGUGUUUACUCAUGAAACUAUGGAUGACGAGGCUGGCAGAUUUGGAAACAGCCGGCAACUUGGGGAAGCCAGAGGAAGUAGGCAGCCGUUAUUGGGGAUUCCUGAGAGCAAAGAGAAGCUGCCCAUCACUGGGAUGGAGGCUUGGGAUAAGGAUUCAGCUUUCUUCGGGGCCAGAGCUCACCCCUGCCGGCAGACUUGAGGGCUGAGGGUCCUGCUGCGGGAGGGGUUGUGACAGGGCUGUGACAACAUGUUCUGAGAGGCAGGUGUGUCAUUUGUGGGGGGCAUGCUUAUUUCCACUGAGGACUUUGCCAUCUGCACUUGCAGUGGGGCCACCGAGUGAGAAAUGCCUGGGUCUGCAGCGGCAACCAGGCACACGCCAGCUCCCUUCCAUCUCAUUGUGGGGUCGGAGACAUGUGCCUUCUGCUGAUGCUGGGGACUCAGCUCAACUGCGUUCUAUUGUAGUAGAAGGGAGGGAGGGAGGAAAGAGGAAGAAUGCAAAGAAGGUAGAUGGAAGGAAGGGAAGGAGGAAGCAAGAAAAGAAAGGGAAGGAAGGGGAGAGAAGAAACAGAGUCAGGAUGAACACAAAGCAGGAAGGAAGGAGGAAGAAGGAAAGAACAUGAUGGAGAGUUACCUAAGAGUCUUAGGCCUUUCAUGGAACUUGUGCUGAAAUUAAAAGCAUACAUUGUGCCCUUGGAAAUCUCACACACGUGCAAACCCAUUUCUUGUCAUUCUUUUGUGGCUUCCAUAAUGUCCUGAGCGUAAAGAGCCCUUCCGGGAAGUCUUGAGACAGAAGUCCCCGGCACAGGGCCCGCUCCACCCGCCUGCAGUCUCCCAUGCACCGGUCCCCGGGGAGGCUCUUACGGAAUGCCUCCUAGUAAAAGUUACUUCCAGUUGGAAUGUAAGGAAGCUUUCCGCAAGCACAUCUUUGCGUCUGUUCUUCUCCUCGUGAGCACCUUCCAGGCUUCUGGAAUGUCCAUCACCCCCCAGAGCUCUACUACCUCCAGGGCAGCACCACGCAAAUGCCACCCCUGAGUCUCAUGGCUCCCAGCUGGGUAUUUUUAUACACAAUGUCUACAGUUCCGGCCCGGAUGUCCUACCAGAGCGAACACAUCUGAUCUAGACCACACUUCUGCGAGGACAUGUUGUUCACCACUUUCUUCCUCCUGUCCUCUCCUUAGGCCAAGGCAGCCUUGUCUGUGGGGCUGAGGCUGGGGCGAGGUUCAGCUGAUUUGCCUUUCCGGGAGGCUCCCACCGGAAGACAGGAGCACCUCCUGUGGCACUCCAGACCUUGGGCAGUCCUGCUGGUGGACAUCUGCCCUGAAGGCAGGGCAAGGGCUCCACCCACGUCUAUGCCUAAUUGUGUGCUAUGAGCUGCUUCUCUCUUUGAGCCACAGCAGCUAGAAAGGCCCAACAUUCCCUGAUAGCUCUGGGUUUUGGCUCCUCCCAGAAGCUAGUUCUCAGGCAGUUCUGUGGAGUCUUUGCAGCUUUUCAGUGCUUUGAACAAGUCUUCACAAGUUUGACCCUAAUUAAUUCAUAAUUAAAGCCAGUGAUAUUUACUAAAAAUUCCUAAAGACUUUAAUAACUCACUUGAGCAAAAAAAAGGUAUUCCUAAAAUAUUCAUGCCAAAAAAAAGGUAUGAAAUAACAAAGACUAAUUUGUGUAUGCUUUAAAAAAAGAGAGAGAGGGAAGUCUUUAAAAGGUUAUUUCAUCCAGAUUUUGAAGACUUAUAUUUUCAGCGAGAGUGGCGAGAUCUGAGGGACUCAUGUAGCAUGAAUGAAAGAGGAAACCCAAUGAUUUCUCUUUUCUGUGCUACUACUUUAAUCCACACCCCUCUCCUGCCUUCUGAGAAUUAUAAUUAUCUCUCACACGGUUACUUAAGUCUUUCCUGGUUCUCACUUCACGACUUCAGGCUUAGUUUCCUUUGGUAAAAUGACGAUGCCUUUCUGCUCCCAUACUCAGAGAUCAUCAGUGUCUUUGGGCCACCACAGGAGUCACUGCACCCUGCUCGGGUAGGCCAACAUGCCUCUGUCUGCAGGCUGGGAUGUGGUCUUAGCUCACACUAUUUAUCACCCUGGAUUUAGAAGAUGCUUCUGAUGAAUGAAUGUUGCAUUAGCAUGUGCCCCAUGUUCUCCCAAGUGAUCAUCCCUUCUUCUUCACCAACCAUGCUGUUCCACAGAGCGUUCAUUUAACCACCACUCCCAACGAUGCAUGAACACUUCCCCUAGUCUCGUUUCUGAAGCCUUAAAAAAAAAAAAAAAGAAUCUUC